CGCUCUUCUCUUCGUCGCUUUUAUUCGGUUUUCUCUCAUUAAUUCCGCGAACUGUGCCGGAGUAAUAAUUUUUCCUAUUUCGUUUCACGUUAUGAUUCAUACGUAAUAUCUAAAAAUACAUCUACAUUACAUUCUGCUUUUAUCCACAGCUAUCCAGUCCCCAACCUCAUACCACAUUACAUAACCGGUAUUGCAUAAAUAUGUAUGUAUAUAUAUAUAUUUUUUUUUUCUCUUUUCGUCCCUUCCCAAAAUUCCACGCUGAAUAUCAUACAACCCGUUCCUACAAUGCCCAUUUUCUGAGAACUUAAACAAAGAAGAAAAUAAUAAAUGGCUUACAUAACAAUCCAUAACACACAACUUUUCCCCUUCAAAAAAUAAAAAAUAAAAAUAAAAAUAAAAUGUCCUUCCACCGCUCUGCAGUUUUGUUAUGCGAAGCUCCCUCGCCGUCGCCAUGGCAACCGCUGGGAAAGGCUUGGAAUACCUGUUAUGGAGAGAGUGACUCCAUUUCCCCUCGCUUUUGUCAGCUCCUUUUGCCUCUAUCGUCAUUUUAUUGCGCGUUUUAUUAUUACGUGUUUUAUCCGUGCGUCUAAACCCUCUCCGUUUUGCCAAGAAGGAGGUCGUGGUAUGAAGUCUUAAUUGAAAACAGUGAUGAUUGUUUUUUUUUCGUUUCGCGGUUUUAAAACUAUUUUUUUCUGAAGAUAUAUAUCUUAUUUGGUUCAAGAUGUACGAGCGCGAAAAGACGGUGAUGUUGGCGACCUCAGCGUCUCUCCUUCCCAAUAACCUUUGUCGUGUCAGGCGCAACGGCAAGGUGUGGGCCGGCGUCGUGCACAGGGACCGCCUCAACAUCGUGUGCGCUCCGACCCCGAGGGAGAGCCCAGGCAUGAUUGCGUGCGACAUA